GAUCAUGGCUCAGGACGAACGCUGGGCGGCGUGCCUAACACAUGCAAGUCGAGCGAUGAAACCCUUCGGGGUGGAUUAGCGGCGGACGGGUGAGUAACACGUGGGUAACCUGCCUCAAAGAGGGGGAUAGCCUCCCGAAAGGGAGAUUAAUACCGCAUAACAUUAUUUCUUCGCAUGAAGAGAUAAUCAAAGGAGUAAUCCGCUUUGAGAUGGACCCGCGGCGCAUUAGCUAGUUGGUGAGGUAAUGGCUCACCAAGGCAACGAUGCGUAGCCGACCUGAGAGGGUGAUCGGCCACAUUGGAACUGAGAUACGGUCCAGACUCCUACGGGAGGCAGCAGUGGGGAAUAUUGCGCAAUGGGGGAAACCCUGACGCAAGCAACGCCGCGUGGGUGAAGAAGGCCUUCGGGUUGUAAAGCUCUGUCUUCUGGAACGAUAAUGACGGUACCAGAGGAGGAAGCCACGGCUAACUACGUGCCAGCAGCUGC
rnacentral:rRNA from 1 species